GUGAGAAUCACAGUGCUGUUCUCCUCUGGCACGAAGGCAGAGAAGCCUGCCACAUGGCUAGGCCACCGGCCCUUCCUUGCCAAAGGAGAAUUGCCCUGCCAUUCAUAG
rnacentral:pre_miRNA from 1 species